CCCUUAGAUGUUCUGGGCUGCACGCGCGCGACAAUGACGUUUGCAACGAGAUACGAGACCGAAAGGUUAAGUUGAUCUAGCAAGCUGCGUCGUGAUAGGGACUGUCGAUUGCAAUUAUUCGACACGAACGAGGAAUUCCUUGUAAUCGCACAUCAUCAGUGUGCGCUGAAUACGUCCCUGCCCUUUGUACACACCGCCCGUCGCUACUACCGAUUGAAUGAUUUAGUGAGGACUUCGGACUGGGACCGAUGCGGCUUUCGGGCUGCGUCGGUAUUCUGGAAAGAUGUCCAAACUGUAUCAUUUAGAGGAAGUAAAAGUCGUAACA
rnacentral:rRNA from 1 species